rnacentral:tRNA from 1 species
GAGAGUAUAGCUCAAGUGGUAGAGCACAUGCUUAGCAUACACAAGGUCCUGGGUUCAAUCCCCAGUACCUCCU